rnacentral:lncRNA from 1 species
CUGUGUCCUAGAAAAUGUUCAUUCAUUAGUGCCAGGAGGAAAACAACCCUGCUUUCUCAUACCCUGUAAUCUUAGUGUUUUCAAAACCUCAUGGACUUUUCAUGGAAUGAUGUGCAACUUUUGCCACUAAUCUCAAAGUUCUUUGGUGAUAAAACCUGCAAGGCUCUGCUCCCUGUCUGAGGUAUUGCCUGGUGAUUGUCUGCUGGAGUUUUCAUCCACUGAAAUCCUACUUGAUCUCCCUAGAAUCACACUUAAUGGGAAAGACACUGAGCGACAAAUCAAAGAGAGAUUUCUACAUCCAGAGAGGAUGUACAGUAUACCCCUGGGAACAAAACAAAAAGAAAGUAAAGAAGAAGAACUUAAAUUUUCUUUUGCCAUUUCUUUGCUAUAUAUCCUUGGUAAGAACUAAAGCAGCAAGAACAAAACCAGGGCUCUGCACCUGUUAUAUUCUUAUGCUGU